rnacentral:rRNA from 1 species
CCUACGGGUGGCAGCAGUGAGGAAUAUUGGUCAAUGGGCGGGAGCCUGAACCAGCCAAGUCGCGUGAGGGAAGACGGUCCUAUGGAUUGUAAACCUCUUUAGGCGGGGAGCAAUGCCGGGCACGCGUGCCGGGAGGGAGAGUACCCGAAGAAUAAGCAUCGGCUAACUCCGUACCAGCAGCCGCGGUAAUACGGAAAAUGCGAGCGUUAUCCGGAUUUCUUGGGUUUAAAGGGUGCGUAGGCGGAUUGUUAAGUCAGCGGUAAAAUGUCCGGGCUCAACCCGGGCCGGCCGUUGAAACUGGGGAUCUUGAGUGGGCGAGAAGUAUGCGGAAUGCGUGGUGUAGCGGUGAAAUGCAUAGAUAUCACGCAGAACUCCGAUUGCGAAGGCAGCAUACCGGCGCCCAACUGACGCUGAGGCACGAAAGCGUGGGGAUCGAACAGGAUUAGAUACCCCUGUAGUC